AUUGAACGCUGGCGGAAUGCUUUACACAUGCAAGUCGAGCGGCAGCACGGGGCAACCCUGGUGGCGAGCGGCGAACGGGUGAGUAAUACAUCGGAACAUGCCCAGUCGUGGGGGAUAACACUUCGAAAGAAGUGCUAAUACCGCAUACGUCCUGAGGGAGAAAGCGGGGGAUCGCAAGACCUCGCGCGAUUGGAGUGGCCGAUGUCAGAUUAGCUAGUUGGUGGGGUAAAGGCCUACCAAGGCAACGAUCUGUAGCUGGUCUGAGAGGAUGAUCAGCCACACUGGGACUGAGACACGGCCCAGACUCCUACGGGAGGCAGCAGUGGGGAAUUUUGGACAAUGGGGGCAACCCUGAUCCAGCCAUUCCGCGUGAGUGAAGAAGGCCUUCGGGUUGUAAAGCUCUUUCGGCAGGAACGAAACGGCGAGCUCUAACAUAGCUUGCUAAUGACGGUACCUGAAGAAGAAGCACCGGCUAACUACGUG
rnacentral:rRNA from 1 species